rnacentral:rRNA from 1 species
AACGAACGCUGGCGGCGCGCCUAAUACAUGCAAGUCGAGCGAGAAGACGUAGCAAUACGUUUGUAAAGCGGCGAACGGGUGAGGAAUACAUGGGUAACCUACCCUCGAGUGGGGAAUAACUAGCCGAAAGGUUAGCUAAUACCGCGUACGCUCCUUGGACUUCGGUUCAGGGAGGAAAGCGAUACCGUGGGUAUCGCGCUCUUGGAUGGGCUCAUGUCCUAUCAGCUUGUUGGUGAGGUAACGGCUCACCAAGGCUUCGACGGGUAGCUGGUCUGAGAGGACGAUCAGCCACACUGGCACUGCGACACGGGCCAGACUCCUACGGGAGGCAGCAGUAAGGAAUAUUGCGCAAUGGGCGAAAGCCUGACGCAGCGACGCCGCGUGGGGG